rnacentral:rRNA from 1 species
GAUGAACGCUGGCGGCGUGCCUAAUACAUGCAAGUCGAGCGAACAGACGAGGAGCUUGCUCCUCUGACGUUAGCGGCGGACGGGUGAGUAACACGUGGAUAACCUACCUAUAAGACUGGGAUAACUUCGGGAAACCGGAGCUAAUACCGGAUAAUAUAUUGAACCGCAUGGUUCAAUAGUGAAAGACGGUUUUGCUGUCACUUAUAGAUGGAUCCGCGCCGCAUUAGCUAGUUGGUAAGGUAACGGCUUACCAAGGCAACGAUGCGUAGCCGACCUGAGAGGGUGAUCGGCCACACUGGAACUGAGACACGGUCCAGACUCCUAUGGGAGGCAGCAGUAGGGAAUCUUCCGCAAUGGGCGAAAGCCUGACGGAGCAACGCCGCGUGAGUGAUGAAGGUCUUCGGAUCGUAAAACUCUGUUAUUAGGGAAGAACAAAUGUGUAAGUAACUAUGCACGUCUUGACGGUACCUAAUCAGAAAGCCACGGCUAACUACGU